GACGAACGCUGGCGGCGUGCUUAACACAUGCAAGUCGAACGGAAAGGCCUCUUUCGGGGGGUACUCGAGUGGCGAACGGGUGAGUAACACGUGAGUAACCUGCCCUUGACUUUGGGAUAACUUCAGGAAACUGGGGCUAAUACCGGAUAGGAGCUCCUGCUGCAUGGUGGGGGUUGGAAAGUUUCGGCGGUUGGGGAUGGACUCGCGGCUUAUCAGCUUGUUGGUGGGGUAGUGGCUUACCAAGGCUUUGACGGGUAGCCGGCCUGAGAGGGUGACCGGCCACAUUGGGACUGAGAUACGGCCCAGACUCCUACGGGAGGCAGCAGUGGGGAAUAUUGCACAAUGGGUGGAAGCCUGAUGCAGCAACGCCGUGCGCGGGAUGACGGCCUUCGGGUUGUAAACCGCUUUCGCUCAUGACGAAGCUUUGUGUGACGGUAGUGGGUAAAGAAGCACCGGCUAACUACGU
rnacentral:rRNA from 1 species